UACGGGGGGAGCAAGCGUUGUUCGGAAUCAUUGGGCGUAAAGGGCGCGUAGGUGGUUCUGUAUGUCUACCGUGAAAGCGUACGGCUCAACCGUAUUUUGUCGGUGGAAACUGCAGGACUUGAGGCUGGGAGGGGCUGGUGGAAUUCCCUGUGUAGCGGUGAAAUGCGUAGAGAUGGGGGAGAACACCAGUGGCGAAGGCGGCUCACUGGCCGAUACUGACGCUGAGGCACGAAAGCGUGGGGAGCAA
rnacentral:rRNA from 1 species